GCGCUUGUAGCUCAACCGGAUAGAGCACCGGCCUUCUAAGCCGGGGGUCGCAGGUUCGAGUCCUGCCAAGCGCACCA
rnacentral:tRNA from 7 species